GGAGACGUGGGUGAGCGGCUGAAACCAACGCUUUGCUAAAGCGUCAUACGGGUAACCGUAUCGAGGGUUCGAAUCCCUCCGUCUCCGCCA
rnacentral:tRNA from 1 species